AGGUCUGUUCCUUUGUUUUUUAGUGUUACACUUUUGAGUGUAAGUGUAAGAAAUUCUAUGGACAUUUGAGUGUAAAAUGACAGCGGAUGUGACAGCGGCUCAUGACAGCGGACAGUAUUAAACGAAAAUUAUCGGUGUGCCAAUCAAGCAAAGGGACAAGGAACUUCCGAAUAUGGCCUAACUGGGGGCACAUAACAUAACAUAACCUAAUCCUAAUAUUUACAUUUGUAAAGAAUAUCCUGUUUGUUUUUAUUGUCGAUUGUGCAGCGAAAUUGUGUGCAGCAAAUCAAAUAUAAAGUAGUUUAUCGCCUACAGAACUGAAUUAGUCCAUAGCAGUUAUCAGUUUUUCUUUCUUGGGAAGCUUAUACAUGUAACUUGUAUUGUUGUAAAUUGUGGGAGUAGGGCAGACAGGGAAAAGUCUUAUUUUGUACUGUUCCCAAGGCUCCCCAUGCAAUACAUUUAAAUGAAUUAUCCAAACAUAGCUGGGGACAAUGGAUAAAAGCCACAAGAAGAAGAGAUAUAAGGGAACUAAAAUUAAAAUAUGAAAAGUAAACAUUUUAUAAGUGGAACAACCACCAGAUAUUUAAAAGGUAUAAAAAGAAGAAACUGCUGGAAUUUCAAAACAAAUGUGUUUGACUAGUAAAGAUUUGGAUAAAUAACAGGAGUUACUUUGGGCUAUAGCUAAGUGCAGAUUUAUUUCCUUGUGGCUUCCUAUGUUAAUUCUUAUUAAUUAUACACUUAAAUAUGUUUUUAGUCUCAGGAAGAUUUUAUAUUUGAUUAUUUUUGAAUAAACAUUAUUAUUAUUACCUUAAUUUCCAUUAAAUAAAUUAACUGUAAUCAAUAAAGUAAUCGUUUAAUUGUUAAUAAAUUAUCAAGUAUGA